rnacentral:rRNA from 1 species
AACGAACGCUGGCGGCAUGCCUAACACAUGCAAGUCGAACGAGACCUUCGGGUCGGGUGGCGCACGGGUGCGUAACGCGUGGGAACCUGACCUAAGGGUCGGAAUAACUCCGACAAAGGGGUGCUACGACCGGAAAAUGUCGUCGGACCAAAGAUUUAUCGCGUGUGGAUGGGCGCGCGUUGGAGCAGAUAGUUGGUGGGGUAAAAGCCUACCAAGGUGACGAUCGAUAGCUGGCCUGAGAGGAUGAUCGGCAACACGGGGACUGAGACACGGCCCAGACGCCGCCGGGAGGAAGGAGUGGAGAAUAUUGCAUAAUGGGCGAAAGCCGGAUGCAGCGACGCCGCGUGAGGGAGGACGGCCUGCGGGUGGUAAACCUAUUUCAGCUCCGAAGAAGAGAAAGUGACGGUAGGAGCAGAAGAAGCACCGGCUAACUACGUG